ensembl:lncRNA
UUCUUGCCUUUUUUUUUUUUUUAAAUGUCUCAUUACAAAGAAAUGGUAAUUGGAAAUAAACGUAUUAAACUCACAACUGUCGAUUUCCAUAACGUUUUCGUUAGUUAUUUAACAUAUUGUCAUUUGCCCUUCCCCCCUGAGCUCUUGCGAAAUGGUUCAGCCGCAACGCGCGAUGCGUUGAAUCGAACAGCAUCCGAAAUUGGAGAUGCUGGCACUGGCAGCAGGUGUACAGAGCGGCUGGGCUGGCUGAGGUCAGGUCUUAACCACAUGAUGGUGAUCUGGUGGUGACAGCUACAGAAAUGAAGUCAGGUUGGCAAAAACUGAAGGAAAGACGGGAGAAAGAGGAGAGGGCCAAAAGAGGCAGGCAACUGGUCACUCAAUUUUUGGCCAAUAAAGAAGGAGGAGGACAAGAUCCGCCCACGGCCACCACGACUGGAUCCCAUUUCGGAGAAGGAGAGGCAGGCCCCUCAUCAUGCCAUGUUCCUCCAAACACCAAUGUUGAAGUGCAGAAGGACAGGACAGGGACCAGCAGUGCAGAAGAGCCAGCCCCCACAUCAGGCCUUGAUGUUGCAGCGUCCAGUCCAGACACCAGUGCUGAAGUGCAGGAGGACUUUUUAUUCAUGAACAGUGUUGAAGCUGAAGUGUAAAUAUUUGUGUUGAUGUCAAGCAAUUGUAAUGUUAAUUCAGUUCCUAUAAGAGUCUAUCUUUUUAAUGUAUCUUUUUUGUGUACUAUUUAUGGAUAUUUGAAAUUUUACUUGCAUAAUAAAUUUGUGUUUAAAGUAAGCAGAAACCUUGGAUUUUUUUGCAGUGCAUCAUGUCUUCUGAAAAGACUAUUGCAGUUAUACAAGGUAUGAAAUUGUGAGUACUCUUAUGGUUUCUUGGGGCUCUGGCUGUGAAGCAUCCACAGGCUUAUGCUGCCAUCUCAAUUACAAAGCAAGGUCACUAACUACAUGAAUGGGCAACCAAUAAUCAAACUGAC